CCUACGGGCGGCAGCAGUGGGGAAUAUUGGACAAUGGGCGAAAGCCUGAUCCAGCCAUGCCGCGUGUGUGAAGAAGGCCUUCGGGUUGUAAAGCACUUUCAGUGGGGAAGAAAGCCUUGGGGCUAAUACCCUCGAGGAAGGACAUCACCCACAGAAGAAGCACCGGCUAACUCCGUGCCAGCAGCCGCGGUAAUACGGAGGGUGCGAGCGUUAAUCGGAAUUACUGGGCGUAAAGCGCGCGUAGGCGGUCUGAUAAGCCGGUUGUGAAAGCCCCGGGCUCAACCUGGGAACGGCAUCCGGAACUGUCAGGCUAGAGUGCAGGAGAGGAAGGUAGAAUUCCCGGUGUAGCGGUGAAGUGCGUAGAGAUCGGGAGGAAUACCAGUGGCGAGGGCGGCCUUCUGGACUGACACUGACGCUGAGGUGCGAAAGCGUGGGUAGCAAACAGGAUUAGAUACCCCUGUAGUC
rnacentral:rRNA from 1 species